GGAUCGUCCGCCGGUGAGAUCAGCAAAAUCAAGCCAGGAUGCAAUGAAGAAUCCACUCCUUUCGCCCAACGCCCCACCCGCGUGGAGACGCGAGCCAGCGUGACAUCAGGCUUAGGAGUAGGGGGCAACUGUUGGGAUAUACCGACCGACCCUAUUGCCGACUCACCAGCGCCGACCCGUCCUCGACGCCGACUCGACUACGAGUCUCGAUCCCG
rnacentral:lncRNA from 1 species